AAUUAUUGAAACGGGAAUGGUCACUUACAACUGUUUUUUCUUUCUAGCUGAAAGUGUCCAUUUCCGUUUUGAUACUAU